rnacentral:rRNA from 1 species
UACGUAGGGUGCAAGCGUUGUCCGGAAUUAUUGGGGCGUAAAGAGCUCGUAGGCGGUUUGUCGCGUCUGCUGUGAAACUCAGGCUUAACCCUGAGCUUGCAGUGGGUACGGGCAGACUAGAGUGUGGUAGGGGAGACUGGAAUUCCUGGUGUAGCGGUGAAAGUGCGCAGAUAUCGGGAGGAACACCAAUGGCGAAGGCAGCUCGCUGGGACGUUACUAGA